ACGGUUUCCAAAAUUUAAUUAUUUAUUCGGUAACUAUCGGGAAGAUUCGGCAGUGAUCGUGUCAAUGUCGAAGUUACGACACACAGAUACAAAGAAAAUCAACAUCGGUGGUCGUGAACACCCUGACCUAUUCGUUUCAUGAGCAUAGGCAGACCGAAAUCAGACAGCGACGCGACGGUUGAAAAAUUAUGAUAGCAUCUUCGUCGUGGUCAUCGUUCUCUUUCUUUUUCACGUCACUACUACGCUACUGUGAUUGGCCGGCAAAUGGUGGACGAACCGUUGUGUUGUUCAUUUCGAUGACGCGUAUAUUGUGUGCGUAAUCGUGUACAUCGACUGAAAACCAUUUGGCAAAUUUUCUGGCACGACAUCUUGGCCAUUGUCUUCUUACUCGUAAUUUUUUCAUCGUUUCGUGCAUCAUAUAUAUAUUAUUGUAUUAAACGAUUUCCUUGUGAAAUGAUUGUGUACUUUGAUUCGCGCAGUAUCGAUUCGUAGACGGUUGGUUUACAACUGGCAUGCAUGCUGUAUAGCACUCACAGCACCCACGCUGACAGUAAAGCUCUGACUGCAGAAGCGUAUGUUGUUAUCCCAGUGCUCAGUGACAGAUACUUAGCUACGUACACGGAAGAGAAACGCUAUCAACAUCUCGAUGCAUUGAAAAAGAUGCUAACGCCGGGACGAUCGGGACCAAUCAGUCCCGAGGAGAUCGGCAAUGGACCUGAUACAAAAGAUCCUGGUGCAACAGGAAAUGGUUCAGGGACGUAUGCGCGUGGUACGCGCACCCCAACCACAUAUGAGACUGAUGAAAGGGCAAAAGAGUUCCUUUCAACAGGAAGAACUGGAAGGAGAAAUGCUCUAACGGAAAUCUUGAGUCACCAUGCAGAAACAGGAAUAUUGGAUUUGCCAGAUCGUUUUGAAGAGCUCACCAUGGAAACAGGUUAGCCAUAUGAGCAGUAAAUUAUCUUGAUUGUUUCAUUGAUCCACGAAUAUGACAAACAGGAAAAUAAGAAAUACAAGGUCAAACGAAUAACAGCAAUCAAGAUUCAAAUUCACCGGGUACUUCAAAACAGCAAGGUUGACGCGGUUCUGGAUUUGUUUUUAUAAAUGUAUUGGUUGUAAUGUAAACACGCAAUAAGGAAAGUGUCGUUUGAAGUUCUAUAGGAAGUUGCUGAAAUAUCAUGAAGUUGUUUUUCUCUUGUGUCAAAUCAAACUAGAUCUCAAACUUUACGCACAGUUUAUUUCGUCGCUAUAUUGGUGCAUACUCGGUGAGGUCGCUUGAAAGCCAGUCACAUAAGUAUGCAAAUACAUGAAUAUUGACAUGAAUAUGUUAUUGAAAUUGAAGCUUAUUGUUUGUAACGAUUAUUAGUAUGACGCAAUAUCAAGUGAUUUGAUAUUAUUAAAAAAAUAAUGUCGAAGAUUUAGUAACCUUUAUAUCGUUAAUAAUUAUUAGUACUCGAUUAAUAUUUCGAAUUCUAUUAAUACUCAAAAUUCGUACAAUACAAAAUUAUUUGGUGUCUCGCGAAAAAAAUUUUUCACAUUGAUGUGAAAUCUAUAUGAUAGUCAUAGUAUGUUUAUACGUAUGCAUAUCCAUGGGUGUCUUGUAAAUUGCGGAUAUGGUUAACAGGGAUAAUUACUUGUAUAAUUAUUCUAUACAUAAUUCUUUACACGUUGUGCGUAUGCUGCGUUUAGGAUUUAAUAAAAAUAUACAAUAAGUUUUUAAAAGGCAGGAGGGAGCACUUUUUUAAAUAAUAUAUGUACCAUUUAUGUCGGUAAUUUUUCUUGAUCUUUUUUUGUCGUUAGUAAUGAUUUAUCUUUUCAAAUACAUUUUUUU
rnacentral:misc_RNA from 1 species